rnacentral:rRNA from 1 species
GAAGAGGAACUAAGCGAGUUAGCUAGUUGGUGAGGUAAAGGCUCACCAAGGCGACGAUCUCUAGCUGUUCUGAGAGAAGAUCAGCCACACUGGGACUGAGACACGGCCCAGACUCCUACGGGAGGCAGCAGUGGGGAUAUUGCACAAUGGGGGAAACCCUGAUGCAAGCAUGCCGCGUGUGUGAAGAGGCCUUCGGGUUGUAAAGCACUUUCAGUUGUG